rnacentral:rRNA from 1 species
CAGUCGCCGCGGGAACACGAAGGGGGCUAGCGUUGCUCGGAAUCACUGGGCGUAAAGGGUGCGUAGGCGGGUCUUUAAGUCAGGGGUGAAAUCCUGGAGCUCAACUCCAGAACUGCCUUUGAUACUGAAGAUCUUGAGUUCGGGAGAGGUGUGUGGAACUGCGAGUGUAGAGGUGAAAUUCGUAGAUAUUCGCAAGAACACCAGUGGCGAAGGCGGCUCACUGGCCCGAUACCGACGCUGAGGCACGAAAGCGUGGGGAGCAAACAGGAUUAGAUACCCGUGUAGUCCCUGUCUCUUAUAC